UCUUCACAACUCGGAGACAAAUUGCAGGCGCUAUGAACCGGCGCAAGGACUAAGCACGCCUCAUAAUGAGGCAGUUACCUCCUAUCUGCUCGGAGCAAUAACUGCAAGCCUCGAUUUACACUAUAUUGAUAAAGACGACAUUGUGUCCGCCUGUAAGACGUAUUACGAGACGGUACGCAGGAGCUUCAGAUAUACGCAG